rnacentral:rRNA from 1 species
UACGUAGGGUGCGAGCGUUUAAUCGGAAUUACUGGGCGUAAAGCGUGCGCAGGCGGCGCGUUUAAGACAGGUGUGAAAGCCCCGAGCUUAACUUGGGAAUUGCGCUUGUGACUGGCGUGCUGGAGUGUGGCAGAGGGAGGUGGAAUUCCACGUGUAGCAGUGAAAUGCGUAGAGAUGUGGAGGAACACCGAUGGCGAAGGGCAGCCUCCUGGGCCAGCACUGACGCUCAUGCACGAAGCGUGGGAGCAAACAGGAU